rnacentral:rRNA from 1 species
UACCAGCACCCCGAGUGGUCGGGACGAUUAUUGGGCCUAAAGCAUCCGUAGCCGGUUCUACAAGUCUUCCGUUAAAUCCACCUGCUUAACAGAUGGGCUGCGGAAGAUACUAUAGAGCUAGGGGGCGGGAGAGGCAAGCGGUACUCGAUGGGUAGGGGUAAAAUCCUCUGAUCCAUUGAAGACCACCAGUGGCGAAGGCGGCUUGCCAAUACGCGCUCGACG